AACGCACCUUGCGCUCCUUGGUAUUCCAUGGAGCAUGCCUGUUUGAGUGUCACGUCAACCCUCACCUGUGCGACGUGGAAGUCGCGUGCGGUGGAUUUUGGACCUCGCCGUCGUCGGCCUGUCCCUAAAUGUAUCAGAGUGCCCUCUGGCCGAACGGUGUGAUAAUUAUCUGCGCCCUGGAGCCUGAGGGGAAAGCACUGGCUGUCGUCCCUCGGGACGGACCUGACUUUAAAGCUCUGGCCUCAAAUCAGGUAGGACUACCCGCUGAACUUAA
rnacentral:misc_RNA from 1 species